UACGGAGGGUGCAAGCGUUAUCCGGAUUCACUGGGUUAAAGGGUGCGUAGGUGGGCAAGUAAGUCAGUGGUGAAAUCUCCGGGCUUAACCCGGAAACUGCCAUUGAUACUAUUUGUCUUGAAUACUGUGGAGGUCAGCGGAAUAUGUCAUGUAGCGGUGAAAUGCUUAGAUAUGACAUAGAACACCAAUUGCGAAGGCAGCUGGCUACACAAAUAUUGACACUGAGGCACGAAAGCGUGGGGAUCAAACAGG
rnacentral:rRNA from 1 species